GCAUGUUGGGAGCUCAGAUGUCUCUUCUCUCUCCCCAGCUUCCCCACCAUCUAUUUUGCUCCAGCUGGCAAGAAGCAGAGUCCAAAGAAGUAUGAGGGCGGCAGAGAAGUGAGUGACUUCAUUAGCUACUUGAAGCGGGAGGCAACCAACACUCCUGUGCUGCAGGAGGAAGAUAAAACCAAGAAAUCCAAGAAGAAGGUGAAGGAGGAUUUGUAAAGUACCCACUCACUAUCUGGUCAGGAUGAGCUCCAUGUGAAUUGGGGAAGCACUGGGCAGACUGGGGCCAGUUCUGGGUUGUGGAGAGCCAGUGACCAUGUGGGCCAAGGGGACCCAGCUGCUGUAUCUAGUUCUGUUUAAUUUCCUGCCGUCUCUUAGCUGCACUGUUGUGGGGCUCCCCAGACUGGUUUGUUUUGUGGUUUGGGGGGGGGUGGGGGGUAGGGUUAUUUUCUAAUUUUUUUUGUACAUUUGGAGAAGUGAAACAAUAAAAUGACCCCCUUAAGACCAA